rnacentral:rRNA from 1 species
UAAGGAAUAUUGGACAAUGGUCGCAAGACUGAUCCAGCCAUGCCGCGUGCAGGAAGACGGCCCUAUGGGUUGUAAACUGCUUUUGUACCAGAGAAAACCUAUCUACGUGUAGAUAGCUGAUAGUAUGGUAAGAAUAAGCAUCGGCUAACUUCGUGCCAGCAGCCGCGGUAAGACGAAGGAUGCAAGCGUUAUCCGGAUUCAUUGGGUUUAAAGGGUGCGUAGGCGGGCUUGCAAGUCAGUGGUGAAAUCUCUCAGCUUAACUGAGAAACUGCCAUUGAUACUGCAGGCCUAGAGUAUAGAUGACGUUGGCGGAAUAUGACAUGUAGUGGUGAAAUACUUAGAUAUGUCAUAGAACACCGAUUGCGAAGGCAGCUAACGAGACUAUAACUGACGCUGAGGCACGAAAGUGCGGGGAUCAAACA